GUGGUUUCAUCUUGCGAAUCUUAGUCGGACCCUUUCACCUAUCGGCUCUUAUAGAUGUCCUUUCGCCUGCGAAGCUCCUCUAAAACUCGGGCCCUGAAUGAGGUCCAGUCCUCAUCCUGGUUUUGUUGGAUACCAAGAGCCCGGUGAAGAUCCUGAGAAUGGCUCCUCAAGAAUGGAUUGUAUUGCUUCUCUUCUUCCAGUGUAGAUGGACUCUAGGUUUAAAAUAAAUGGACCCACUGUAGCUUCCGGUCCUGUGCCAUGUUACCUGGCUCCAACUCCACAGCAAACAUCAGCUUCAGAACAGUGGGAUAACCUGGAGCAGCGUGAGCUAUUGUUGUGUCAUGGUGACAGAUAAAACAGUGAAGUAGUAAAGGUGAUGUAGAUUACCAGGCCAGAGCAACGUGUCGUCAUUCA